AAUUUCCAAGGAAAGAGGGGAGAAAAGUCACCUCUUGGUAAUAAAAUAUGUAAAGAAGAUGAGUUAAGAUUAGUGUGAAACUUAGCCACAUGCAUAAAUACUGCAUGCAGGAUUUGUUCUGAAGCCUGGGAAGAAGUGCGAGGUCCAAUGGCCACAUCUGGUGAGGUGCUUCCUGCUGAUGGAGACUGCAGAGUUCUGAGGUGGCACAGGACACCACAGAGUGAGGCAGAAUGCCUAGCUCAGGUCUCUCUGCAUCUAUCUAUCUAUCUAUCUAUCUAUCUAUCUAUCUAUCUAUCUACCUACC
ensembl:lncRNA